rnacentral:rRNA from 1 species
GACAGAGGUGCCGAGCGUUAGGCGGAAUCACUGGGCUUAAAGCGUGUGUAGGCGGAUCGUUAAGUACCUUGUGAAAUCCCACGGCUUAACCGUGGAACUGCUGGGUAUACUGGCGAUCUUGAGCCACCUAGGGGCAACCGGAACAAAUGGUGGAGCGGUAAAAUGCGUAGAUAUCAUUUGGAACGCCAAUGGUGAAAACAGGUUGCUGGGGGUGUGCUGACGCUGAGACACGAAAGCCAGGGGAGCGAACGGG